rnacentral:piRNA from 1 species
AAGGAGGUCAGAAUGCAGUUAUGUUGCGGG